UACGUAGGGGGCAAGCGUUAUCCGGAUUUACUGGGUGUAAAGGGAGCGUAGACGGUAUGGCAAGUCUGAUGUGAAAGCCCGGGGCUCAACCGCGGGACUGCAUUGGAAACUGUCAGACUAGAGUGCAGGAGAGGUAAGUGGAAUUCCUAGUGUAGCGGUGAAAUGCGUAGAUAUUAGGAGGAACACCGGUGGCGAAGGCGGCUUACUGGACUGUAACUGACGUUGAGGCUCGAAAGCGUGGGGAG
rnacentral:rRNA from 1 species